AAACAAGUGCUUGAAGGCAGUAUGCUUGGUAAAAGUCAUCGCCAUUCUCUAAUCUUGAGUACCCAGGGACACGAUACACUGCGGAAGGCUGCAGGGACCUCUGCCCAGGAAAGCCAGGGAUCACUCUAAGCUCCAGUGUCAAGGAGUCAAGUCCUUCAGGAAUUCUCUGCCUCCACUCCCUGUGGCAGAGCUAGAGUGGCUGCCAUGCUUCUGAGCUCAGCCAGCAUCCAGAGAGAGAGUGAGAUACAGCCUCCUCUUCUUGAAGCACCCACUUCUAAACUCUGUGACAGUUUUCUUGGAACUCUGUUAUGUGGAUCUGGAGAUGACAAUGUCACAGCACUCCCCUCUAAGCCUAAAUUCCCCCACACCGAUGAACUAUUAGUUUUCUAAGGAUAAUGGUCUCCAGCUUCGUCAAUGUUCCUGCAAAGGACAUGAUGCUGACUUUGAAGAUGCAAGCUUCCACAUCUACAGCCUCAAGGAAACAAAUUCAGCCAACCAACUGAGGGAGCUUUCCUUGUCCUGCCUCAAGAUGAGAUCACAGUCUGCCCAACACCAUGAUUUAGGCCUUGUGACACCUGGUAUGGAAGACCCAGUUAAGUUCUCUCCAAACUCUUGACCCACAGAACCUGUGAGAAAAUAUAUGGAUAUUAUUUUAAACUGCUAAAUUUGUAGUAAUUUGUUAUGCAGCAAUAAAAAAAACUAAUGCAAGGAGAUAUCAAUUAUUGUAAAAAGCUUAGCUUUUGUUUUAAAAUAUAGUUCACCAGUAGUAAGUUACUAAUAAGUAACUAAACAAAUAAAAGCAAGCCAUUUACAAAUCAA
rnacentral:lncRNA from 1 species